UUGAUUCACAGGUAAAAUAAACAAACUGCCAUACCGUCAUUUUAAAACAGGACGUCGUUUUCAUUCACGAAUUCUUCAUUGAUUAUUAAAAUAUCAUCAUAUAUUAAUGCGAAUACUACAUGACACAGUUUUUGAACACAUGAGAAGAAUAGACACUUCGCCUCAUUCAUCCGAUCCAUUAAUCACUUUCACUUUCCAUUCACAGGAAGGUACGUACUCAGCCAUUCUUGCGCGAGUAGUCUUACAACCAUGCUCCUUGUACUGCGGAAGCAACAAACUGUUGACAAUAUUCUUGGUAACGUUUGUUUUAGUCAUCACAACAGACAAUAAUGGGCGUCGCAGUUACAGUUGGAGGGCAGAGACAUUGACUCUGCACAGUUGAGGUGAUAACGAGUCAGCCUUCGCCAGUCAGUCAAGAGAGUUGGUCAAGAGAGAGAUAACGAUAUCCGCCAGUCGGUCUGACAUAAACACGCGUGUGACUUGUGUAGCGAACGAGAACUUUACAAUCAUUCACUGUUCAUGUUAUUCUGUGGUGUAUGUUAUUUUAAUAUUGAUAUUCGGGCAUCUCUACCUUUACUUAUAAUCUCAGAUUGAGACCUUGAGCCAGAGACGCUAUGGAGACGGACAAAUUAGAUGAAGGAUCUAAGAGACCGACACACAUGUACGAGGUGCCAGUGCCACAGCAGGUCGGCAUAUUUGGAUCGGCAGUGGACGUCACCUCCAGCUACAUCGAUUACUUGUAGAUUUAUUAAUAUAUUGCCACUACUAAAGUAAGCUGUAUUGUAACAGACCGAUAUACAUGUACAAGGUGCCGGUGCCCCAGCAGGUCGGCAUAUUUGGAUCGGCAGUGGACGUCACCUCCAGCUACAUCGAUUACUUGUAGAUCAUUUAAUAUAUUGCCACUACUA
rnacentral:lncRNA from 1 species